rnacentral:lncRNA from 1 species
CAGGCAGUUUGUCUCCAAGAGCUGAGCUCCAGUGACUGCUCCAAAGGGCUUCCUAUCCCUGACUCCCGACCCCAGGUCUGCUCAGCCAACACCCCCUUCACACUCCCUGCCUCCCACCAUGACUGAGGGAGAAGACUGGGUCCUCUCCCAGAAGGAGAGGCCUCUCUCCAGACCAAACCAUGUUGGAAAUGGCAAGGCUUAUGGACUCUACUGCUUUCUUUUCCUUCCAGGGCCUGGCAUGGCGAAGGGGUGAGGCAGACAUGAAUGUGCCUGGAUUUCUCACCUGAAGGAGCCCUGAAAACAGGCUGACAGUUGCCAAGUGCUUAUUCUGCCAGGCCCUCGGCCUUCUUUUGUGCGUGACUAGAUAAUAGGAUGUAAGUUUGUGUGUAGUUUUCUGAGAUCAUUCUUUUUUUUUUUUUUUUUUGGAGACGGAGUCUCCCUCUGUCACCCAGGCUGGAGUGGGCAGUGGCAUGAUCUCAGCUCACUGCAACCUCUGCCUCCCAGGUUCAAGCGAUUUUCCUGCUUCAGCCUCCUGAGUAGCUGGGAUUACAGGUGCACACCACCAUGCCCGGCUAAUUUUUGUAUUUUUAGUAGAGAUGGGGUUUCACCAUGUUGGCCAGCGUGGUCUUAAACUCCUGACCCCAGGUGAUCUGCCCGCCUUGGCCUCCCAAAGUGCUGGCAUUACAGACAUGAGCCACUGUGCCCGGCCAAGACCUUUCUUUAUGGCAAAUGUAACGUACCUAUAGAAGGUACACACAAAAGAAUAUUCAGCUCAGUGAGUGAUCAGAAGGCAAACACCUGCGUAACCACUCUUCAGUCGAGAAAUAGAAGUGUGCCAGGGUGCUGGCAGCCCUGGUCCUGCCCGUGCCUGCUCAGGAGGCCCUCCCACUCCUGCAACGGAUAAGCACUCCACCGACUUUUGUGGUAACUACUUACUUGCUAUUCUUUACAGUGUUACCGUCUAAGCAGACAUCACAAAAUACAGUAGCUUAGUUUGAUUUGUUUUCUGAAAUUUCUACGAAUAGAAUAAUUUUCUCAGAUAGAAAUUCCUUUAUGUCCAACUUGUUUUCAUUAAACAUCUUUUAUAUUUAUUUGUGUCGCAUAUAACUGUUUCACUCAUUUUUGCUGCUGUACGUGACAGUAUUCCACUGCAUGAAUAUCCAACAAUUAUUGAUCUGUUUUACCUAACAAUUAUUGAUCUGUUUUACUGUUGAAGGACAUUUGGGCUUUUACCAAUAAUGUUAUUGCU